GGGCAUGUAGCUCAGAUGGUAGAGCGCUUGCUUUGCAUGCGAGAGGUUCGGGGCUCGAUACCUCGCAUCUCCA
rnacentral:tRNA from 1 species